GGGCCCGCACAAGCGGUGGAACAUGUGGUUUAAUUCGACGCAACGCGAAGAACCUUACCAGGGUUUGACAUCCUGCGAAUCUCUUGGAAACAGGAGAGUGCCUUCGGGAACGCAGUGACAGGUGGUGCAUGGCUGUCGUCAGCUCGUGUCGUGAGAUGUUGGGUUAAGUCCCGCAACGAGCGCAACCCACGUCUUUAGUUGCCAGCAUUUAGUUGGGCACUCUAGAGAGACUGCCGGUGAUAACCGGAGAAGGUGUGGAUGACGUCAAGUCAUCAUGCCCCUUACAUCCUGGGCUACACACGUACUACAAUGCUACGGACAAAGGGCAGCAAGUUCGCGAGGACAAGCAAA
rnacentral:rRNA from 1 species